rnacentral:sRNA from 1 species
AAGUGCCGGCCCUGAGAGGUGGAGUCGGGGUGGCAGCGGCGGCGGUUGCCAGGAGCCCGCGUUGCAGCCUGAGAUCCGUAAUAUGGCGGGGAGGAGGAGGAGAAGGCGGCGGCGGACCGAGCUGCGCUCUGUCAGUACCAUUUGAGCCAUUCCCUUCCUGACAAGGCCCGUGGCGAGGGGAGAGGAGCUGAAGGGGCCGUGGGGGAUCAGUUUCAUUUGAAUCCUACGGGGAACCAAGCACUGUCGCUGCCCUCCAGGAAUUCAUACUCUACUGCUAAAAAUCGUCAUCAUCAUUAUCCUCUUAAUAAGAAAAGCAGUCCCCAUUAUUUGUUGCUUUCUGCGUGUUCUGCACUAUGCUAAUUGCCCUACAUGCAUUAGUUCAUUGAAUUCUUACAAGAUUCCUUUGAGACGGAUACCGUGAUUAUCCCUCAGAGGAGGAAACAGGUGUGGGGAUGGUAACUGGCUUGCCAAGAACUUGCAGCUAGUAUGCAUCUGAAUAAGAAAUCUUCCCCUUUACCGCUUUUACAAGAAGUUUGCGUCUUUGGCGGAACUGAUGGGCAAAGAAACACUAGGUUGUGCAAAAAAAGCAGGAUCUGUUCUGUGUUACUUUUACUACUCCUUUCAGUGACAUGUCUGGCAGAGCACGGGUAAGGAGCAGAUAGGACCAUGAGUCUAUGGGGUUUGCAAAGAGGCUCAUUUGGACAAGGGUCAGUGGUUCUCUGUGGUAUAAAUGGAGAAGACAGGGCAUGUCUGAACCUGCUGUAGCUGACAAAUUAUUACUGGAAGUGGACCAGUGAUGCCUGAUGGCAAGAUAUAGGGCAGUAGAUUAGUGGUUGGGGUAGCCUUGUAGUCAAGGCUCCCUUAAAAUAAAACCUUGCUGACAGUGGUAAUUGUAUUGUGAAAGGCAUAGUGUCCUCUUGCUUAAUCACGGGAUAUAGACUGCUCACUUCUUAAAUGGUUACCUUUGCAGUUUAAGAGGUACCAGUUUCUCUGGGAAUAGAGCCGUGGUGAAAUUUCCGUUCUCUAAAUUCCACUCUUCCUUGCUAGCUUCGGUGUAUAGUACGCCUUCUUUUUUUCUUCUGGUUUACAUUAUUGUUUGAGCUUAUUAUUAUUCUUACUCAUUUAUUCAAUACUUUUAUCAAGUGCCUGCUGUGUGCUGAUACUGUUCUGUGUAAUGGGGAUUCAGUGAACAAGACUGAAAAGGUACCUGUACUUAUGGCGCUUACAUUUUGGUGGAGGAAGACAGACAAAAAUCAAGGAAAUAAACACGAUAAUUUCAGAUAGUGGUAAGUGCUAUGAAAGUUGGGAAACAGCAGGGUAAUGUGAUAGUGAUAGAGGCAGAGUUAAUUUAGAUGGGGUCAUCAGGGAUGCCUUCUCUGAGGAGGGGAUAUCCAAGCUGAGACCAAAGAAUAAGAAGGAUCCAGUCAUGCUCUAAGGAUCAUCUAGUAAUUUGUAUAAUCUCCAUAUUAGCACUCAUAUUUAAAUGAGUAAUGCGUUGUGAUAUGCUGUGUUGUGCUGUAAUAAUAAUAUAGUACUAUACAUCUGCAAGAUGUAGGACAUACAUGUACUAUUUAAGGGAUGUGCAUAACUUUCUGAAACAAUGAGGCAUAGCUCUAUGAUGCUGAAAGAAAAAUAAAACUAUGGCCAUACAAGUAUUAUAUUUCCUUAAUAAUUUACCUUACUUCUAAAAUUGAAUUUCAUGCUUUGCUUGAGUAUCCAUAGAAGAUAUAUUACUUUAUUUGUAUAAUCUAUUUACAUUCUGUGUAUUGCUGAAUGCAUGGCAUGAUUAAAAAAAUAAAAUAUUUGAGCCGAAAUGGGGUUAAGAAAUAAUGUGAGUUGAAACCUAGACCUAAAAAAAGGCUAUGCCUUAAGGUGUUUUAUUGUUUUUACUUUUGCUUUUUUAAAAUAAAUAAAAGCUUGUAAAAUAGUCUCACUCACGCUGUAGAGAACCAUUUGUUUGUCAUUAGAGUCCUACUCUGCAUAGAUUGAACACAAAUAAUUACAAUUGAUUGAAUAGUAGGAAGAAGUUUUGUUAUUGAUUAAACUAUUUAGUAAAAAAUAGCAUUAUAUCUUAUUUUUGUAUAACCUGAUUGUAAUUUUGACUAUUUUUUUUCCCAUUUCUCAUUGCACUAUAAUUUGUCCCUGAUACUUUGGUAUACUGAAUUUUUAAGUACUUUGAGGCCUACCGAGGACAUAUCCUAUUUCAUCUUUGCAUAUCCCACAUCAUGAAUUGAAUUUCCCUGCCCUCUCUUUUUUUGUUAAGAAACUAAUUAUUUUAAAAUGAAGACAUAAAGGAACAUCAUUGUAUUCUAUUUUCUGUUUCCAUAGUUCAUACCCUUGCUGGUUAUGAUUCUGAUAAUGUCUUUUUAUUUUCCCUUGCUUAUUUAAAGGAAACAGUGCCACACAUAAUGCUGUGCAAAUAAGCAAUCAAUAUUUACUGUUUGCUAAAUGAAUGAAUGUGAUGCCUAAUCCCUCCUGGUUACCUUGUAUUUUCAUAAUCACAAUUUCCCAGAAACUGUGAAAUUACUGGGAUUGUUUUAAGUAGUUCGGUGAUGGUUCCAAUUUUCAACAAUAAAAUAUAAUUAAUAUCAGA